rnacentral:rRNA from 1 species
UACAGAGGGGGCAAGCGUUGUUCGGAAUUACUGGGCGUAAAGGGCGCGUAGGCGGCCUGCUAAGUCGAACGUGAAAUCCCCGGGCUCAACCCGGGAACUGCGUCCGAUACUGGUUGGCUUGAAUCCGGGAGAGGGAUGCGGAAUUCCAGGUGUAGCGGUGAAAUGCGUAGAUAUCUGGAGGAACACCGGUGGCGAAGGCGGCAUCCUGGACCGGCAUUGACGCUGAGGCGCGAAAGCCAGGGGAGCAAACGGG